rnacentral:lncRNA from 1 species
UCCCCCGCGUUUUCUCCCCGCUCUGACUCUGUCCUCCGCUGUCCGGAAACGCGCCCCGGAAGGCGGGGUUGGGGAAGACCCCCGCGUGGCGGCUGCGCAGCAGGACGGCAGCAGGACCCCGGAGGCCCAGAAGGGGUUGGUUAAGAACAGCUCUGAUCCGCGCCCCGCGCCUUGCGCAUUUCCCCGAGGACUUGCAGAGAAGCGAAGCACUCCCGGGAGGGAAGGAGGGUGCCCUGAGAGCGAGGACGGGACAGCGCCCCGGAGUCCCGGAGGGAGGUGCUGCUUAGAAGCGUCUCUGCCCGCAACGAGGGUCACCCCGAAUGAGGAGCAGACUCCUGUUCCCCGGAGCUGGGUCAUACUGAGGGAGAAAUGUCAGGACCCCAAGAGCCAGGGCCCUGGGGCUCUCAGAUCUGGAGUCUCCACGGCCAGGGCUGCAUGCCUGCUGCUCUUUGAGCCCUCCUGGGAGGUGGGCCUCUGCCCAGCUCAUCUGGAAGACAGGUCAAGGGAAGGGCCUGCCGCUGCCCUCAGCCCUGUGGGACGGCAGGAGGAGAGAAGUAUUCUGCUGCUUCCCCACUGGGGGUGGGUGAUGAGACCUGUUUGGGAUGCUCAUUUGCUAGUUCCAGGUCUUCUUUUCCCUAAGGAAACACAAAGCAGAUUGGCUUGCUUCUAGAUGACGACUUCUGUGGACUCUAGUCCUACACUUUUCUUCAAAGUAGCAGACACAAUCUUAAUUCCAUGAGGAGGAGGAGCCACAACAGGGGCAUGGGCUUUGGUGGUCCCCAGUGUCAGGAAGGGUGGCUUCCAAUUUUCCUUGGUUUCCAAACCUCGCCUCAAAAUGAAAUCACAAAUAAACCAAAAUAAAACUCAAGUAAAGCAUCUGUGGAUGGUUCGGUUUGAAAGCAGUGGACAGAGAGAUCAGGAAGGGCCCACCUGUAGGAUCCAGUUCGUCCAUCUAGGGUUGAGUUGAACCCAGGAGGUAAGUAAGGUGCUGCAUGGCAGAGGGACCUGCCAGGUUUGGCCUAAGGAGGGUCAGGCCCCCACGUCACUGGAGCUGCUGUCGCCAAAUUCACCGUCCAACACCUCAUUACUAAAGCCACUAGACAAUGACCUCUGAGGCUCCACCUCGGGGUUCCUCACUCCUGGGAUCAGGGGAGUGCUGAGCGAGCCAUGCAGCAGCCAGGGACAAGCAGCCCCUCCCAGUAGCCUGCCCUGGUCCGGGCCAGGUUGCAGCCCACAGACCCCAUCAACGUGGCCUUGGAAAUGCUGCUCCUGGGGAUUAAGCAUUCAAGGCUUGAGAACUCCUGCCCUCAGUGCCUGGAAAUGACAGAAAAAAAUUAAAAUUCGUUAGAACCAGGAGAACAAGAAGGGCACCCUUAAACCGGAAAUCCUGAGGAAUCCUGGGGAGAUGUGGAGGCCAUUGCUCUGGCUGGAGGGAAGAAACCACAGCCAAAGGCACUGAGGCAGAAACCGCGGGCAGGUGACGGGGGCUCAGAGGCAGCAGCUGAGGGGGCCUGGGGCAACUUUCAGGGUGAUGCACAGGGUGUCUGUGGAGCUCGGCCCCACCCCUCGCUAUCCUAAGCAGCAGGCAGUGGACAAAGAAGUUCCCAUUGGUGAACAACACCUGGAAGGAGCAGAGAGUCUCAUGUCCCUGGACUUGCUGGGCCCUCCACACGGUCGCUUGAGGCCACUGACCGCUUGCUGAUGGACAAACGGGGAACUUCACAUACAAAGAGGAGCACAGAUGCCGGCCCCACGGGAAGCACCAAACACCGCAAAUGGACCGACUCAUGAGCUGGCUGAGGCUGUAGCGGGCCAUCUGGGUCAGGCUCUCCUUCCUCCGUGCAUGGGCUAGACUCCAUUUCCCCAAUUCCCUAACAAGGAGGUGUGGCCAUGUGACCAGCUCCUCUGCAGUGGAGUUGAGCAGACAUGACAGGUGCCACUCCUGUGCCUGGCAGCACCUCCCUCCACACUCCUCCCCCUUCCCGUGGGCCCGAAUGGCUAUGACACCAGUGAGUCAGGAAGCUUCACUACCAGGAUUUCAAAUCCCCGUCAGCCGGGGGCCCUGAACCACUGCAGGAGUCGAGGCCACUGUUGACUUGGAAGCCUUGCCACAGGUUCUCAAGAGAGAGUAAGCUUGUCUUUUGUUUGGGCUGUUGGACAAGGGUCUGUACGUUGGAGCAGUUUAACUUCCUGCGCCAGUAUGUAGGCUGCCAGCACAGCAUGGCUGCUAACAGAGCGGUGUAUGUCCACGCCCAGAACUGAACCCAGGCCACUGAAGUGGAGCAUGCUAAAAACAGC